UUGAGUUCAGCUCAGGGCAGCUCCCCUGUUCUGUUAAUUAAACUCUGAGACAUCAAACUGGCUAGGGUAGAUCACUGCAUAGAAAAUGUUACUCUUAAAAAAAAAAAAAAAAAAGAAAGUAUUACUCUAUUCAUUUACCUCCCAGCCUAUAAAG
rnacentral:snoRNA from 1 species